CGCUGAUGGACGAAGGCAUGGUGAGUGAACAGCAUUAGAUACCAUCGUAGUACUCGACGUAAUCGAUGGAUACUAGCUGUCCGGGACCUUGAGUCCUGGGCGGCCAAGCGAAAGUGAUAAGUAUCCCACCUGGGGAGUACGUUCGCAAGAAUGAAACUCAAAGGAAUUGACGGGGGCCCGCACAAGCGGUGGAGCAUGUGGUUUAAUUCGAUGAUACGCGAGGAACCUUACCAGGGCUUAAAUGCAUAUUGACAGGGGUAGAGAUACCUUUUCCUUCGGGCAAUUUGCAAGGUGCUGCAUGGUUGUCGUCAGCUCGUGCCGUGAGGUGUCAGGUUAAGUCCUAUAACGAGCGCAACCCCUACCGUUAGUUGCCAGCGAGUCAUGUCGGGGACUCUAACGGGACUGCCGGUGCAAACCGUGAGGAAGGUGGGGACGACGUCAAAUCAUCACGGCCCUUACGUCCUGGGCCACACACGUGCUACAAUGGCCGGUACAGCGGGAAGCCAUGCGGUAACGCAGAGCGGAUCCACAAAACCGGUCACAGUUCGGAUCGGGGUCUGCAACUCGACCCCGUGAAGCUGGAAUCGCUAGUAAUCGGAUAUCAGCCAUGAUCCGGUGAAUACGUUCCCGGGCCUUGUACACACCGCCCGUCAAGCCAUGGG
rnacentral:rRNA from 1 species